UGGCGAACGGGUGAGUAACACGUGAGCAACCUGCCCCUGACUCUGGGAUAAGCGCUGGAAACGGCGUCUAAUACUGGAUAUGUGACGUGACCGCAUGGUCUGCGUUUGGAAAGAUUUUUCGGUUGGGGAUGGGCUCGCGGCCUAUCAGCUUGUUGGUGAGGUAAUGGCUCACCAAGGCGUCGACGGGUAGCCGGCCUGAGAGGGUGACCGGCCACACUGGGACUGAGACACGGCCCAGACUCCUACGGGAGGCAGCAGUGGGGAAUAUUGCACAAUGGGCGCAAGCCUGAUGCAGCAACGCCGCGUGAGGGAUGACGGCCUUCGGGUUGUAAACCUCUUUUAGCAGGGAAGAAGCGAAAGUGACGGUACCUGCAGAAAAAGCGCCGGCUAACUACGUGCCAGCAGCCGCGGUAAUACGUAGGGCGCAAGCGUUAUCCGGAAUUAUUGGGCGUAAAGAGCUCGUAGGCGGUUUGUCGCGUCUGCUGUGAAAUCCCGAGGCUCAACCUCGGGCCUGCAGUGGGUACGGGCAGACUAGAGUGCGGUAGGGGAGAUUGGAAUUCCUGGUGUAGCGGUGGAAUGCGCAGAUAUCAGGAGGAACACCGAUGGCGAAGGCAGAUCUCUGGGCCGUAACUGACGCUGAGGAGCGAAAGGGUGGGGAGCAAACAGGCUUAGAUACCCUGGUAGUCCACCCCGUAAACGUUGGGAACUAGUUGUGGGGUCCAUUCCACGGAUUCCGUGACGCAGCUAACGCAUUAAGUUCCCCGCCUGGGGAGUACGGCCGCAAGGCUAAAACUCAAAGGAAUUGACGGGGACCCGCACAAGCGGCGGAGCAUGCGGAUUAAUUCGAUGCAACGCGAAGAACCUUACCAAGGCUUGACAUAUACAAGAACGGGCCAGAAAUGGUCAACUCUUUGGACACUCGUAAACAGGUGGUGGCAUGGUUGUCGUCAGCUCGUGUCGUGAGAUGUUGGGUUAAGUCCCGCAACGAGCGCAACCCUCGUUCUAUGUUGCCAGCACGUAAUGGUGGGAACUCAUGGGAUACUGCCGGGGUCAACUCGGAGGAAGGUGGGGAUGACGUCAAAUCAUCAUGCCCCUUAUGUCUUGGGCUUCACGCAUGCUACAAUGGCCGGUACAAAGGGCUGCAAUACCGUGAGGUGGAGCGAAUCCCAAAAAGCCGGUCCCAGUUCGGAUUGAGGUCUGCAACUCGACCUCAUGAAGUCGGAGUCGCUAGUAAUCGCAGAUCAGCAACG
rnacentral:rRNA from 1 species